CAACUUGAGAGUUUGAUCCUGGCUCAGAACGAACGCUGGCGGCAGGUUUAACACAUGCAAGUCGAGCGCACCUUCGGGUGAGCGGCGGACGGGUUAGUAACGCGUGGGAAUGUACCCUUCACUACGGAAUAGCCCAUGGAAACGUGGAGUAAUACCGUAUACGCCCUCAGGGGGAAAGAUUUAUCGGUGAGGGAUCGGCCCGCGUUAGAUUAGAUAGUUGGUGGGGUAAUGGCCUACCAAGUCGACGAUCUAUAGCUGGUUUGAGAGGAUGAUCAGCAACACUGGGACUGAGACACGGCCCAGACUCCUACGGGAGGCAGCAGUGGAGAAUCUUGGACAAUGGGCGCAAGCCUGAUCCAGCCAUGCCGCGUGAGCGAAGAAGGCCUUAGGGUCGUAAAACUCUUUCAGCUGUGAAGAUAAUGACGGUAGCAGCAGAAGAAACCCCGGCUAACUCCGUGCCAGCAGCCGCGGUAAUACGGAGGGGGCUAGCGUUGU
rnacentral:rRNA from 1 species